rnacentral:rRNA from 1 species
GCACAAGCGGUGGAGCAUGUGGUUCAAUUCGAAGCAACGCGCAGAACCUUACCAGCCCUUGACAUCCCGGUCGCGGAGAGCAGAGACGCACUCCUUCAGUUCGGCUGGACCGGAGACAGGUGCUGCAUGGCUGUCGUCAGCUCGUGUCGUGAGAUGUUGGGUUAAGUCCCGCAACGAGCGCAACCCUCGCCCUUAGUUACCAUCAUUCAGUUGGGCACUCUAAGGGGACUGCCGGUGAUAAGCCGCGAGGAAGGUGGGGAUGACGUCAAGUCCUCAUGGCCCUUACGGGCUGGGCUACACACGUGCUACAAUGGCGGUGACAGUGGGCAGCGAGGCAGCAAUGCCAAGCUAAUCUCUAAAAGCCGUCUCAGUUCGGAUUGGGGUCUGCAACUCGACCCCAUGAAGUUGGAAUCGCUAGUAAUCGUGGAUCAGCACGCCACGGUGAAUACGUUCCCGGGC